GACGAAGGGGGCUAGCGUUGUUCGGAAUUACUGGGCGUAAAGCGCGUGUAGGCGGUUGCCAAAGUCGGGUGUGAAAGCCUUGAGCUCAACUCAAGAAAUGCACUCGAUACUUGGUGACUAGAGGACCGGAGAGGAUAGUGGAAUUCCCAGUGUAGUGGUGAAAUACGUAGAUAUUGGGAGGAACACCAGUGGCGAAGGCGGCUCACUGGACCGGUACUGACGCUGAUGCGCGAAAGCGUGGGGAGCAAACGGG
rnacentral:rRNA from 1 species